AUUGAACGCUGGCGGCAGGCCUAACACAUGCAAGUCGAACGAGUGGCGGACGGGUGAGUAAUGUCUGGGAAACUGCCUGAUGGAGGGGGAUAACUACUGGAAACGGUAGCUAAUACCGCAUACCAUCAGAUGUGCCCAGAUGGGAUUAGCUAGUUGGUGGGGUAACGGCUCACCAAGGCGACGAUCCCUAGCUGGUCUGAGAGUAUGACCAGCCACAUUGGUACUGAGACACUGUCCAGACUCCUACGGUGUGCAGCAGUGGGGAAUAUUGCAUAAUGGGCGCAAGCCUGAUGCAGCAAUGCCGCGUGUAUGAAGAAGGCAUUAGGGUUGUAAAGUAAUGCAAGCGGGGAGGCGUUACCCGGAGAAGAAGCACCGGCUAACUCCGUGCCAGCCGCCGCGGUAAUUC
rnacentral:rRNA from 1 species